ensembl:ncRNA lncRNA:CR46039 long non-coding RNA:CR46039
AGCAGCAACAAUUAAUCUGUGUAGAACACAAAUUUAUAUUCAAAAUUAUUAUUGAAUCAUACUUCAAGGUGUUUGGCCCAAGGCCAUGGGCACUGGGGCACCUCCGCCCACCUUUCAGUUUCUAACGACCUUCGGCUGAUGCGAUAACCAGUUAAAACCCCUAAAGGCAGCCACCAGAAAGCUGUCCAUCAGGAGAGCAGUGGCUGUGCAGCGGUGUCCAUCAGUAAACGUAAACGGGGGAGAGCUUAAAGCAAAUACGAAUUCGGAGGAGGUUAUCCGACACCAGAGUUUUUCAAAACUCCGUGCGGCAGUUGGUCAGAAAUCUCUCGAGGGUAUUUCACUUAGCCUGGUGGCCAGAAAUCCGGUUUCAGCAGUGUCCGUAUUUGUUUAUAGACAAAUGGCGACUGCGUGCUUAUAUGGCCGCACGUAUUUGCAGAGCAUUUAUUAAUAUUUGACGAAUGAUAACAUUUAAAACCAUCGACACCCGAGGGAGUCCGGAAUUUAUUCGAUUUUCUGCUCGAACGAAAUUAACAAUAUUUGCAUAGCAUUUGUUGCGCCGCAUAUUUGCAAUUUGUUUAAGCCAGACCAAAAUAGAUGCAGAUAUACAAUAUAUAUAGAAUUACGAACAAUUCUCGGACAAUCGAGCUUAAAUCAAUCAAGUAUCGAGUUCAAAUUCCGGCAGAGAGCAAUUAAAGUGAAACAGGAGCGGACACUAAAUGGCUUUUGUGGCGCGGCAAAUAUUCGGAUCUUUAAGGUCCCUCGGGGGCGAAGUGAGUUAUGUGGGGAUUUUCACAUGUCGCCUUCGCAUUAAAUUGCAAUUAAACUGACCAGAAAAUGUUGUGAUAAUUGCGUUGCUGCCUGAAAUUAAUAGCCAUCAUUUGGCGAAAGUCCCGACCCCAAACCCUCGAACUUGGCGACUUCUGCCUCCUCCCCCCCCCCCCCCCCCGUGGACCGUAAAUGUAAAUUCCAUUUU